GUUAAGUUGCUGAGGCUGGCUUUGAAUCUGUGUCUCCUGCCUCAUUCUCUCCAGUCACUGGGAUUACAGGCAUGUGCCACUGCACCCAGCAGGGUAAUGUAUUUUAAGAGAAUACUUUUAAAACUCUGUGUUAAUUUUGGGCUUACAAUUUAUCCUUGAUUCUUCUGUAACAGAAAUAUCUGCUCAAUAUCUACCUGAGCUUGAGUUUUCUUCAUUUCCUGGCUAAACUGAACUGACUUGACAUAUUGUGUUAAUAGACUCUUUUUUUUUGGUUCUCAUUCCAGGGCUAGGCAAAUCUUGGCACACUGGAGAUCUCAGGGCAUGGUUAGGAAGUGAGAAAGCCUGUGGUCCCCCUCAAGAGUACCUUUAUGAUAGAGAAUAUAAAAUAAGAAUUUAAAUAGUUCCUCACAGUCUAGUUAGGCAUGUAAACAUUUAAUAUUAUAAAAGUUUUGUAAGUGCAGGCUGGUAUAUGGUAUCUGCAUAGUUAGGCAAAUACUUCUGAGGGAAGUGGGAAUAGUUAGUGGACAAGGGAAUGUUUAGGCUUUUGUCCCUUUCACCCAUACUUAUUAAUUUGGCUAUGCCUCAGGCACUGUUAUGUACCUAAGUAAUAGCCGUGGAGAAGACAGAUAGUUCUGCAGUUAUAGAGCAGGAUUAGAAGUACUGCUCUAAAGGUGAGCACAGGAUGCUCUGGAUGCCUUGACUUGGUCCAUUGAACAAGUAGGACACCCUUGAUAGAGGAGAUGAUGCUUGAACUGUGCAUUGAAGGUUGGGUCAGCAAAGAUUUAAAGGACACAGUUGUUCUGGAUUCCAGGAACUGUGAAUAAUUCAGUAUUCUGGAGUCCAGGUUACAAGUGGUGAUAAGCCAGGAGAGGUGGAUCACAAGGGCUUUGUAAGCCAUCUGUCCUAAGAAUAGGAAAUAAAGAUGUUGAAGAGAGUGCAUAAGAUGUUCAGAUUUGCAACUCAGAAACAUGACUGCAUGUGGAAACUGGAAUAGAGACUGAUGAGAAGAAGGGCAGGAAUCUUUCAGGAGAUAAGGACUGUCAUUUAGGAUAGAAGUAGAUGGAGAUACAAAGUUUUCAUGAAUAAGGGUUGUUCCUUAGUUGGAUGUGUCAGCAGUCUGUCCAUAUCCACUGCACCAUUGUCUCUCCAAGUUUGAAACUAGCCAUUCUGUCUCCUAAGUCUUUCUCAUCAUGAAAUGCUUGUCUUUUGUUUACAGUCCCCAAAAUACACCUGAUGGUUUUAUGCCACAGUCUUUGAUCCUACCUUUAUUUUUACCUGGAAUGGAUCUCACUUCUCUUC
rnacentral:lncRNA from 1 species